AGUGGAAGUGUCCCUUUAACAGCGGCUGGCCUGGCCUGGCUCGGGCCCUGCUUUGCCUCCUGUUCAGCUGUGACUGCAGCUACCAUGCUGACUCAUGUGCCUGCAGCUAGCAAGAGCUGGCAGCAUGGGCUCCCCAGGGGCUACGACAGGCUGGAGGCUUCUGGAUUAUAAGACAGAGAAGUGGGCUCUCCUCGCCAAAAAAGGCUACCAGGACCGGGAUCUUGACCCCCAGAUUUCUGUCAUCACCAAACUCAAAGGGAAGUGGCCGACUUGGUGAAGCCGCCUCAGGGAGAAAACGUGUUCUUCUUGGUGACCAACUUCCUUGUGACGCCAGCCCAAGUUCAGGGCAGAUGCCCAGAGGCUGCUCCCAAACUCCUGGACUCAAUCGAUCUUCCUCCCUCAGCCUCCCAAAGUGCUGAGAUUACAGGUAUGAGCCACCAAGGCCAGCCCAGGACACGCUUCUUGAGAGACACAGAUACAGGGUCUUGCUAUGUUGCCUCCUAGGUUCAAGCCAUCCUCCCAACUCAGCUUCC